CCUGUAUAAUACAGAUAACCAUAGACAGCAGGUGGCCGAUUUGGCCUUAAUUGCCUGCCGAGGUUUGAGCUGAUUUUGCCUAUUUUAGGCAAAUUAAGGUCGAAGCAAACCGUAGUUUCUGUGGUAAAACACAGAUUUUUUGUUUAUAUA
rfam:Parcubacteria (Magasanikbacteria) bacterium GW2011_GWC2_41_17 TT49_C0005, whole genome shotgun sequence.